AGGGAGGGGACGCCGCCUCGGGCCUGCUCUCCAGCUGCCGAGUGAACUGGGAAGGUUUGCAAUUAAAAAAAAAUUAAUGUGUGAGGUUCCCAAUAUAGUAUUUCAAAGAGCACACUUGGCCAAAUCCUUCUCCCCCGGGAGAGAGACUUUUAAAAAAUGAAGAGUGCUCGGCCCACUAAUCUGGGCGCGGGGUUCCCGGCCAUCCUCACCCCUGUAGUCGGGAGGCUGGUGGGCCAGAUGCGCCCCCUGCCCAGACCGCCGGCGGGAAACUGCGACCGGUCGGGUGGGGGCGGCAGGUGCGCGGAGCUGGGUGGAAAACGGGCGGUUCAAAGAGAAUCUCUGUCUCGUCCAUCUUGCCCCCUCCCCACCACUGCCCUGGCUUUGCGAGUGGGGGUGGAGGGGAGGAAUGGAACCGACGAACCCGAAGUACAGCUACGACAAGUGUCCUGCUUGUUGGUAAUGUAAUUCCAACCAUAUCAACCCUCCCGCAAACCUGCCAGUUAUUUUACUGGCCCUAGUGGUUUGCAAAGGGAAAUCAUUCCAUCUGUAAGAACAAUGAUGGUGUCUAUUCCAUAUUUCAUUCCAUCCUAUGUUUUCACUGCCUCAAGGUGCACAACUCCAAACACUGCUUACCCACAGCUCCCCAGUGUACAUCUUUUCUGUUGGAGAAACUGGGACAGACUGAGUGAGAAACGACAUCCAGUUUAAGCUGCACAGGAACACCCAGCUAUGGACCACAUUUCCCAACCUCCCUGGAAUCCAGGUAUUGCCAUAUGACUUGGUUCUCACCAGUAGAAUAUAAAAAAAGUCCUCGAAGGGGAACAUUUUGCCAAUGUGGAAGAAGUGAAACAAAAAAACAGCAGAAGCACUAAAAGACAUCAAAAUAGACGAAUUCAAAAACUGUGUUGAGCCAUGGGAAAAAGUCUCAAUAGGUGUAUUGCAACAAACGGAGAGUACUUUGAAGGUGAUUGAAGUUUAAACAUAUAAGAUUAAAUAUACAAUUUUUAAUAAAUAAAUUCUGGGGUUUGGAUGGAUUCUCCCUCAUUUAUAGCCAUCCUUGCAUUGUGAUUAAGUUCCUCACAAUGAGACCUCAAUGGAAAUAGGUUGGUGUCUUCUGGGAAGUCUCCCUAAAAGGGAAAGGACACACCUUUCUUCUUCUCCAUCCUGCUCUUUGGUUUGUGGAUGUGCUGGCUUUCCUUCCCUGAGCUGAGACUCACCUUUAGCAAUGUAAUAGCAAAACCUGAAAGAAGCGGGAUCUUUGAUGAUGAUGAAGCCACCAGAGGAGAUAAUAAUGAACUGACUGUUUAAACUACUCUCUUGGAGACACUAAGUUACUUGUAGCUGAACUUAAUCCAAAUUCAUAUUUAAAUUUAAGGUUACCUAAUUUCCUUUCAGGUUUGGGAGACAUCUAAAUAUCACAUAAGGACUUGAAAAUUCAACUACUUCUCUUAUAAAGUUUUUGUAUUGUCGUUCAAGUACAGUUGUCUCCAUUUUCCCCUCACCAUUCCCUGCUGCCUACCCAUCUCC